rnacentral:rRNA from 1 species
CAGUAGCCACGGGAAUACGUAGGUGGCAAGCGUUGUCCGGAAUUAUUGGGCGUAAAGGGCUCGCAGGCGGUUUCUUAAGUCUGAUGUGAAAGCCCCCGGCUCAACCGGGGAGGGUCAUUGGAAACUGGGAGACUUGAGUGCAGAAGAGGAGAGUGGAAUUCCACGUGUAGCGGUGAAAUGCGUAGAGAUGCGGAGGAACACCAGUGGCGAAGGCGACUCUCUGGUCUGUAACUGACGCUGAGGAGCGAAAGCGUGGGGAGCGAACAGGAUUAGAUACCCGUGUAGUCCCUGUCUCUUAUAU